rnacentral:rRNA from 1 species
CCUACGGGUGGCAGCAGUGAGGAAUAUUGGUCAAUGGGCGCGAGCCUGAACCAGCCAAGUAGCGUGAAGGAUGACUGCCCUACGGGUUGUAACCUUCUUUUAUAAAGAAAUAAAGUGGGGCACGUGUCCUUUUUUGUUUGUAUUUUUUGAAUAAGGAUGGGCUACCUCCGUGCCAGCAGCCGCGGUAAUACGGAGGACCCGAGCGUUAUCCGGAUUUAUUGGGUUUAAAGGGAGCGUAGAUGGGUUGUAAAGUCAGUUGUGAAAGUUUGCGGCUCAACCGUAAAAUUGCAAUUGAUACUGGCAGUCUUGAGUACAGUUGAGGUAGGCGGAAUUCGUGGUGUAGCGGUGAAAUGCUUAGAUAUCACGAAGAACUCCGAUUGCGAAGGCAGCUUACUAAACUGCCACUGACAUUGAUGCUCGAAAGUGUGGGUAUCAAACAGGAUUAGAUACCCCAGUAGUC